rnacentral:tRNA from 1 species
GUCAGGAUGGCCGAGUGGUCUAAGGCGCCAGACUCAAGGGUCAGUACCUUCGGUGCACAUGGGUGUUCUGGUCUCUGAAUAGAGGCGUGGGUUCGAAUCCCACUUCUGACA